GACAGCUGCAGCAAUCCCAGGUCAGAUGUGGAGAAGGGAAGUCAAGAGGCCGGAGGCCUCCUCUCAUUUCAACCACUGACUCACUGCUUGGCAGAGAAGGGAAUUAUCUAAUAUGCCGGCUAAGGAGUAAGGCAGCCAGUAAUACUCUAUCUGCCUGUCUGUUGAUGCCAGAUCUUUUGUAUGUAAUGGCACUUCUACACUGCCUUUGUCCUUGUGUUUACUUCCUUUUGAAAAUGAAAAAGGCCUCUGCUGUGACACCCUGAGCAAGCAGCCAACUGGCUGAGCAGAGCAGCGUUUCUGGUGCAUCAGUCCGUGUUCAAGCAUAUAUAACUUCUCUUUACCUUGUGCCUCCUUUUUCUUUCAGAUUUAUUGCACUUAACACAUCUGGCUCAGAUGGAAACUGCCCCACAAUUAGCAGUAUUUCUACCCCCUGCAUGCAUGCAGUCUUCAACACGUGCCAUUUGAUUAUAGCCUCAAGCUGGAAAAAUUGAUUACAGAUAAACUGUGCCUGCCACCCAUGCCUUCCCCUGGGACUUCAUCUGCUGCAAUUCUACCAACGUGCUGCUGUCUCCCUAACAGGAAAAGCUCAUGUAUGAACAGUGCUGUUGUAAUAUAUUAAGAGUAGUGGGAAAGGCCGUGGAAGUGAGCCAUAAAUCUGGAGGUAAGAGCCAGGAGCAGCAGGGGCUCUGCUGUAUGCCAUUAAUAAAGAUGUUCCAGAGGCACAGCAGCACGUUGCUGUGGAUAUCGCUCCUCAGGUCUCCACCACAGCAGAGCUGGGCUUUGGUACACAGCAAGGCAAUCAGUCAAAUGCUCUCCACUAUUGUCAAAUGAUCCAAGUUGCUCUUGGUAAACACUGCUGUUAGCAGCAAGGUUAUCGUUCCUGCUUUUAUUUAAGAGUCCAGCUCCAUUUUUCACUGUAAUACAAGUUUUUCAAGAAAUUCCCCAUCUUGUUGAACAAUGCUGGGAAUGCUUUGUUUCCGCAUAAUUUGCCCCAAAAAUAGAGUGAGGUUUUACACUCUUUAGGGCCCCAGCCUUGGCUUUGUACUCAGCCUCCAGCACAACAGGCCUCUGGCUGGGAUUAAUACCAGCACAACACAGAUUAUUGAACGAGGAGAAUAAAGAGGCACGAGGAGGGUAUUUGAGUGCAAAAACUUAAAUGUGGUAGAGGAGUGCAUCUAUCUGGACAUCAAGGAUAGGGAACCAGGAGCUGUGAAUGCCAACAGAGCAGAAGAGGGCCAAGCUCUGCAGCUAGGCCUAACCCCAGUCAUCCCCUGUGAGCUAUGAGGAGGGAGACCUACAGGCAGAGCCCUGGAGAACAUGAGCAUUUGUGGGUUCCUUGGGUGGAAACCAAAUGCAAAUUGCGUUUUAAAGAAAGCAUUUAGCUAAAAUUAGCACCCAUAGCACCAUUAGUGUUGUGUCGGCUGUGACAGAAGGCACUGCUAAUUGCAAGUGAGCUUCCACCCCACUUGAUUAUCGUGGUGACACAUAGAUCAUUAACAUGACGGUCUAAACAUGGAGCAAAUUGUUUAAAUAUUAAACUGUCAACUCCUUCCUCUGAUCUCCAGAUCACUGCCUAAAACAGGGGGGGGAAAUGUGUGUGUAAAAGAUGAAUUGGGAGCUCUGCCACUGCCUGGCAUCACCCUGGUCCCUGUCAGCAUGGUGACUACAGCCAGCAGGCUGUGAAAUGGCAUUUUCUGAGAUCUGCUUUGAUGCAAAUGUAUUUAAUACUUGGUCACUGCUCUCCUGCAGGCCUCCAACGUGACUGGGCCUGCUCACUGACUCCAAGCAUCCAAAGCAAGAGAACUAGAUAACCUCUCAGAGUUCCUCCCAACUCUAACAAUUCUACAACAAAUAGGAAAGGAGAGAGAUCAUUUGCCAAGAAUCAACCUCACCUGCUGCAAAUCUGAGUGGAAACCUGUGGGGCAAAGAAAGACAACAACAGAGCCUUUCCCCAGGAUGCAAACACCAUAGAACAGGACAAUAAAAUAAGAACUGACUUACCUCCUUCCAGUGACCAGCAACAGCUCAAAAGGAGUGCAGCCUCCAACAGAUGCAGCUCCUUCGGCUUCUAGUCCUUAAAUGAGUGAGAGGUGGAUCUAAGCUUCACCCAUAUCAAUCACUCAGGUACAUUGAUUGCACCUGAACAACCUGGGUUAGCCAUAGCUGGUGCUCAGCCAUUGCUUCAGGCCCUGACCUGUCAAUUCUACUGCAGAGCCAUUCAGCUGCUGCAUACAGCCCUCCUUCUGACACAACAGGGGCAUUGGACCUAUGUGCAAACCCUACGCUGUUUUCCUAUUAGUCCUUAGGCCACAAAACAUCACAAACAUCCCUUGGAUGCUCAAAAUGUGGUAACUUGGAUAUUAGGAAGAAUUUAUUCUCAGAAAGAGCAGUGAUGCAUUGCCACAGACUGCCCAGCAAGGUGGUGGGAGGUGUUUAAGGAAAGAGUAGAUGUGGCACUGAGGGACGUGGCCCAGUGGGCAGUGUUAGUGGUAGGUGGGUGGUUGGAUGUUAGAGGUCUUUUCCAACCUUAAUGAUUCUAUGAUUCUAAGAUUCCGAGGCUACGGAAAUUGUUUAGCAGGAGAGCAAUGCUGUUGGGAGAAAAAUACAAACACAUUAAUGACAUUCAGCCAAAGGAUUAUCAAAGGCAAGGAACCCAGGGCACUUAUUUAGGAAAUUAUUCAAGGAGGAGACUCUAAGGGAUGUGAAUUCGUGGUUUCCUUCCUGCGUAAUACAGGAGAGCACAGGAAGGCAGCCCUUGAAUUCAUGGGUCAUAACCCUAUCUACCGAACAGCUUGAGUACGAUCAGUUUAAAAUGAGUCUCAGUGCUCUUCUGCUUUUCCCAAGAGCACAGAAAAAUUAAUCUACCACUGAAGUUUCUCUCUGUCUCAAGCUGUAAAAUACAAGUUUGUGCCGAUAAUUAUUUUGACAGCCGUCACACGUGCCUGUUGUGAAGGAUCAGCACAGACAGUUUCCAAUAUGAUGUGAACCUGUGGUAAUGGCUAAUUAGAAUGCAUUACACAGUCAGUCCCUACAGUUCUCUGUUCCUUAAGAAAAUCUGCAUUUCGGAAGAGAGCCUUAUAUUGGAUAUAUAGGGACAAAGUUGCCUGCAGAUUUCCAUUGUGCUACGCCAUACCCAUUUGUACCAAAGCAUUUUCUUCCGUAGCUCACCAAAUAUAGCAGCUUUCUUCAACACGGGAACAAGACUCAGAAAAGGCUUUGUCCUCGUUCUCCUUAUAGACAAGCAGGUACAAAAAUACCAAGCAAUACGUAGCAGGAGCAGAAGUGUUAGAGGUUACCUAAGGAAUUUCGUACAAUGCUACUUUGACGUCAGAGUUGUCUCAAAUACUACCUGCUGUCAGUGUAAUAUCUAGAGGGUGAGUAAAUCUGUUUCUCACACAGACUUCUCAAAACCAGACUCAGAAUGAGUUAGAAGCUUUUGAAUAGGACUCUGAUUUCUAAGUCACGUAAGUAUUUGCAAUGUUACCCAGAAUCAGGUUGCACGUGCAGACUAGUUUUAAGCAGCACAAACAUAUUCACAUUCUUCUGUGCUGGAGGUAUUAAUCCACAUAUGGAUAUUCAAUUACUAUCAGAGCAAACCAUUCACGUGCACUAGAAUCAGAUAAAAAUAUGCAAAGCAGGUGGCUUGAGGCUCAUUUGUACUGAAAUUCCUUCGGCUGUUUGAAGAGACUUUGUAAUGUCAGCAUACUCCCACCUGAGUACAUUCUUUACUGUGAGCAGAGUAAAGUGGCCUUCUUGUAUGUGAAAGUUAGAUCUGAAUAUGUUCGCUUCAAGGAUACAGGAUUUUUGUUUCAAGAUAAAAAUGACCAAAUAGGUAAAAUAACCUAAUUAUUGCCUUUCUUUCAAGGACUCAAGGAACUUAUACAGUGAGAAUCUGUGAAAAAUAAAUGGAAACCUGGAUUCUACUUCUCUAAUUUUCUCCUGCUCAUCUUUUAUCCUUUCUUUCUUUUUCUUCCUCAACUCCGUAUUAUCAUUCCUGCUGUCCUUAUCAGCAUUAUUGCUUUUGUUGGCCUCCAGUUCGGAGUCCUGCCACCCCGGCACCAUUUCAUCUCUCCAGAUGCAGAGUGGGGGUUUAGGAUAAAAUCUCAUCCUUUGGGAGUCCAUGGAGAUGCAUGGGAAAAAAAAUAAAAAAGCAGAUAAGAACAGUAAGUCUAUAAAUCUCUACGUCUAUAAAUCUUAAAAUGGAUUACUGAUUACAGUGACUCUUUAAUGGAAAGAGUGACAGCUCAUGUAGACAAAAGGCAGUGUAAUUCAUGGAGGCUAUUAAAUUUGAGAGGCCUUUUCAUUCUCAUUUGUCUUUCGAUGUUAUGUGUCGAUUUCUGGGAGAUUAUUCUCUGGGGAGGAUGAGCCCUACUCAUCAGAGCCUGAAAAGUGCCUGUGUUUAUUUGUCUGCUAUUUGCCAUGGUAGGCAAUAUGUUUGCUCCUCCUGCACCAGGAUGGACAACCCACAGUGCUAGUGGAGGCUAUGAGAGGGCGCCCAUCUGUCCUGUCCUGCUUGUUGUUUGUGAGAUCAUGCUGGAUACACCCACUGGGCUUUGGGGUUCAAAGGGGCCAAAACCCCAUCACAGGACAGCAGAACAGAUGCAGCCAAUCUCUCCAUGUCUGUGAUCAUCUGGAAUGUGCUGUGUCCAGACACCCCUCAUAGCAUGGCACAAAUAUCGUAGGACAGGAAUCACCCUUAUGGCAUGGGACACGGUGGUGGUGCUUUGUUCUAGGGGCUCCUCUGCUAGUGGGUUUGCAAUGGAACCAAGGUCUUGGAUAAUGGUCAUGGAUGGACCAUACUAUGGUCGAGGAACUGGUGGCGAGAUAGUACCCAGAAUGUAGUGGUCAAUGGCUCAAUGUCUGGGUGGAGAUCAGCGAUUAGUGGAGUUCCCUGGAGGUCGUUACUGGGACCAAUGCUCUUUAAUAUCUUCAUCAGUGACAUCAACAAUGGGAUUGAGCACACUCUUAGCAAGUUUGUGGAUCACACCAAGCUGUGUGAUGUGGUCAACAUGCGCGAGGGACAGGAUGCCACCAGAGAGGCCUAGACAGGCCUCUGAGAGUGGUCUCUCAGUACCUAAAAGGCCUAUAAGCAAGAGAAGGUCAGACUCUUUAGCGGGGUCUGUUGUGAUAGGAAAAUGGGAAAUGGUUUCAAAAUAAAAGAGAGGAGGUUUAGAUUAGAUGCAAGGAAAAAGUUUUGGUGAUAAAGGUGGUGAAGCACUGGAAAAGGCUGCCCAGGGAAGUUGUGGAUGCCCCAUCGCUGGAUGGGCCUCUGUGCAGCCUGAUCUAGUGGUUGGCAACUCUGUCUGUGACACGGGUGUUGGAACUAGAUGAUCUUUAAGAUCCCUUCCAGUCUAAGCCAUUCUAUGAGCCUAUGGUUCUAUGAGACUUUGAGCUGCUACUGACCAGCAAAAAAACAGCCUGAGUUUUUUAAAUGCUCAUUCAUCAGAGUAAGAGUGUAGAACAGCAAGUGGGCACCGGGGGAGUUUACAUCCCAAAGCACUCCCUUUGCCAAGGUUGCGUUCCUUCAUUUUGAUCACAGAUUACAGAGCUAGAGUGCAAUGGUUUCCCAUGGGAAACCAGGGGCCAGCGGAGUUUCAUCAAGAAACAAGUUACUGCUGGGGCUGGGAGCAGGAUGCUUUCACUCCACAGCGCAGGAGGAUUUACUGUAACACAAACCCUUCAUGCAGGUGAUUGACUGCUACUGCUACCCGCGACAGCCUGAAAUCUGCUGCCUUUGUGUCCUUACUGUUAGUACAAUUGUUCAUUCAUGGACCAAGAGACUCCCAGCGCAUCCAAUUCCAGCCAGGCAAAGUGGCUGCGAUCCUCGUCAAAAAUCAAUUGACUGAAGUCAGACCCCACAUCUCCGGUUGCUAAGGACAGGCAAAUCCACAUUGCUCAUGCUUAGACCAGUGGUGCAGAACAUCACUUAGUGCUCACAGCUGCCUUAUGGCAACAGAGGUGGAAGAGAAGCUGCAGAGACAUGAGGAGCAGGAUCCUGUGCUGCCUGGGAGUCCUGAACGUGUGGAUGGGAAGUAACCUUGAGAGGGGGUCUGUUCCUUGACCAUGUGUUGAAAAUGCCCAUUCAGUUCUGGAGGAAAGUAUUGUCUGUUUACUUAUUUAUGCAGUUAAAAAGAUUGAGGACAUUGCUGUCAACCUCCAGGGCUCUGAAUCCAUACCCUGUCACCUUUAUCAGGUGCCCUAGUGCCCUAAAUUACUAGCUAGCUGCACUUAGCCCUGGUUGACCAUUGCAGCAGCCCCACAGGAAUAAAGACACACUCUUUUCCAAGUGUGUAUGCAGCCCACGUUAGUUUUGGUGACCUAAAAUUGCUGCCUUUCCCUCUACAGAGAGGAUGGAUUGGUCUCAUACUCCUCACUGCUGCCUGGAACCUUUGUCGCAAUGCCCCAUUGCAUCUUGGCAGCCUCACUGUUGUUUUGGGGAUGAGUCACAGGAGACUGAGCUAUCUGGUCAGAAAGGCUCAGUUUCGGUGCUGAGUCACUGCAAAGACAUUGUGGGCAGCUCGGGGCUGUGUUUGUGUUAUGCCUCCCGUUUCACAAAGGACAUUUGCUUAUUUUUGCUUGUCUAAAAGGUCACGCAUCCACGUGCAUUUACUUACUGGUGUUCCUCCAGCACAUCUGGACGAGGAUGGUGUGGCCGCUUUGUGGUCCUCACUACGUAACACGAAGUCUUCAUUGUGGUGCAUCACCCUCAUCUUCACUGUGGCUGCCUCCAGCCUGGCUCUGUCUCCAAGGCAGAUUCCAUUUCUUUUUUCUUUUUUUUCCAAAUAAAACCAAUAUUGCUAUUGCUAUGUAUUAUUUAUGCUGCGGAAAACAUUGAGAGGAAGAAAUGGGAAAAAUUAGCUCAUUCUUUCUAGAAUCUGCAAGCAGCUGAAAGACAAAGAAUAUAGAAUUAACAAAAAAAACAAAAAAACCCAACAACCUCAGCUAAUUUUGGAAAGUUUCGUCUUCACAAGAUCCACUCAUUUCAUAGCUAAUUCUUUGUAAACCGUUAUUCCUUUUGUUCCAAGUUUGGUAUAGUUUUACAUCAAGCCAAGUUCAAUGAAAGAAGAAAAAGGAGAGAUGGUUUGAAUUAUUCCCCAUCCCCUCACCCCACAAGAAAAAACUUGGGUUUGAAGAUCACAUUUUAAUAUGCAAGAAUCCAUCCAAGGACGCCCUUGCUAAUCUUUCAGAAUGCAGCAUUGUGCUCCUUCAAAGUAUUGAAAGCUGCUUGGAUUGUGAUUGAAUGCAUAACCCUGUAUUAAACUUCUAAUGGCUAACGAGACAGAAUUUGGUUACGAAGGCUGAAAUAUAGAAAAUAUAAAUCAGCAGCGUGCAACAGACUGAUCCUUUUUUACUUUCAUUAAAUCAGUUUUAAACUAA
rnacentral:lncRNA from 1 species